UUAGACGAAAGCAAACCGGUACAUUAUAUUCUGCAUUUGUAUAGUCCGAAGUUUCCUAAUUGAUAUUCUUGUUUCACAUGUAAAAUGAAUGAACAAUUAUAAAAAACGGCAUUCAUUUUGAAAUAUAGUACUGUUUUCUAGAGUGAAAAUGAAGUCACAUAUGCGAGGGUAUAAACGGGACGAACUGAUUAAAAAUAACGGGACCAACAUUUAUAUAUAAAACGGAAGAAUAGGUGCUGAAAUAUAAAUAAAAGUAAAAUUUAAUAUAGAUAACAUGGAGAUUUGGUCUAUACCUAUUCUUAUAACCACUCUUAAAUUUUGUUAGAUUUUGUACACAGGCUGUAUAUCACGGACAGUUUUAUAUUGGUAUGGUAUAUUUUAUAAGUUUUAAAUGAGCACACCUGGUUCACUCGCAAUCACGCACGUGAUUCAUUGACCUUGUUCAAUGUGUAUUAAAUUAAACAAGCCUGUCAGGAAGUCGACCGUU
rnacentral:lncRNA from 1 species